rnacentral:lncRNA from 1 species
UCUUUCCUUUUCUGACAUUAGUGACUGUUGUCGACUUGCACAGAAGCGAACCUGUAUUUAGAAGAAUUUUGUUUAGAAGUAUUUAGCUCUAUAGAUAAUGUUCCUUGAUUGCCUGGAGGCGCUGGGCUUGGUGCUCUCAGGAAAACCUAUGGGAAUGAGAUACAGUCUUCCCAUCUGCUGAGGGUAACAGACUGUGAGAAAUUUAGACAUUUUUAAAGUGGCAGCUGACUCACGCCCCGUGAUAUAAACCAGCUCUUACAGGAGCACCAAGAGCCAGGCCCUAUGUGCUCAAGACCGAUUCGUGCCAGGGUUGGCAUUUGGCGAGUCAGAGGGAUUUAAUUGAGGUGAGGUGGGCAGAGGGGCCUGGGGCAGCAGGAGGAGGAAACAGCAUGCAGGAGUGGAAACUCAGGACAUUUGGGGAAAGGGGUGCUGCUGUGGGGCCCAGCGGCCGUGGAGCAUCACAAGACGUGCCGGAGCCUGGGCAGGUCACUGUGGCAGCAGCCGAGUGUCGGGGACAUCCUUCGCCUGCUGGACCGGGACCGGAUGAUGCA